ensembl:rRNA 5S_rRNA 5S ribosomal RNA
AGCCACAGCCAUAUCACCCUGCAGCCCAAGACUGGUUGCCCACUGAAGCUAAGCAGGGUUGAGCCUGGUCAGUACCUGGAUGGGAGACCUCCUGGAAAAACUAGGUUGCUGUUGGAA